AUUGAACGCUGGCGGCAGGCCUAACACAUGCAAGUCGAACGAGUGGCGGACGGGUGAGUAAUGUCUGGGAAACUGCCUGAUGGAGGGGGAUAACUACUGGAAACGGUAGCUAAUACCGCAUACCAUCAGAUGUGCCCAGAUGGGAUUAGCUAGUGGGUGGGGUAACGGAUCACCAGGGCGACGAUCCCUAGCUGGUCUGAGAGGAUGACCAGCUACACUGGAACGGAGACACGGUCCAGAUCCCUCCGCGAGGCAGCAGUGGGGAAUAUUGCACAAUGGGCGUAAGCCUGAUGCAGCCAUGUCGCGUGUAUGAAGAAGGCCUUCGGGUUGUAAAUUACUUUCAGCUGGGAGGCGUUACCCGCAGAAGAAGCACCGGCUAACUCCGUGCCAGCAGCCGCGGUAAUUC
rnacentral:rRNA from 1 species